AUUAAUUUCCCCUAAAAAUUGGUGUUUCUGGUUGUUCUACUGGUGGAGGAAUAGGAUCAGUCCUCCUAGGUUGCCUUACCCGUAUUCCAUUAUUAAAUGUGCACCUAAGUCUCUUUAGUAGAUUUUUAUUGAUGAUGUUAUAUCUAUCACUUUGAAUUGUUUCUUCAUCGGGUGGGAUGCAAAUGUCAUAGGUAUGAAGAAUUCUAGUGAUUAACCCCCCA
rnacentral:lncRNA from 1 species